rnacentral:rRNA from 1 species
CACGUAGUUAGCCGGUGCUUUUUCUGCAGGUACCGUCACUUUCGCUUCUUCCCUACUAAAAGAGGUUUACAACCCGAAGGCCGUCAUCCCUCACGCGGCGUUGCUGCAUCAGGCUUGCGCCCAUUGUGCAAUAUUCCCCACUGCUGCCUCCCGUAGGAGUCUGGGCCGUGUCUCAGUCCCAGUGUGGCCGGUCACCCUCUCAGGCCGGCUACCCGUCGUCGCCUUGGUGAGCCACUACCUCACCAACAAGCUGAUAGGCCGCGAGCCCAUCCUUCACCGAUAAAUCUUUCCCACAACAGACCAUGCGGCCAUUGUGCAUAUCCAGUAUUAGACACCGUUUCCAGUGCUUAUCCCAGAGUGAAGGGCAGGUUGCUCACGUGUUACUCACCCGUUCGCCACUCUUCCACCCAGCAAGCUGGGCUUCAUCGUUCGACUUGCAUGUGUUAAGCACGCCGCCAGCGUUCGUCCUGAGCCAGGACUCAACUCU